GUUCGACAGCUCGCAGUACCCCUACAACUGCUUCAACUACGACGGCGAUGAGUACCCAACCUGUAGCUCGGACGAAGAGAAAAAAUUCACGAGGCCGGCGUACAGCUACAUUGCCUUAAUUGCAAUGGCCAUCCAGCAAAGUCCAUCAAAUAAAGUCACCCUCUCUGGCAUUUAUGACUUUAUAAUGAAGAAAUUUCCU